rnacentral:rRNA from 1 species
UACGGAGGGUGCGAGCGUUGUCCGGAAUCACUGGGCGUAAAGGGCGCGUAGGCGGCCUGAUAAGUAGGGGGUGAAAUCCUGCGGCUUAACCGCAGGGCUGCCUUCUAAACUGUCAGGCUUGAGCACAGUAGAGGCAGGUGGAAUUCCCGGUGUAGCGGUGGAAUGCGUAGAGAUCGGGAAGAACAUCAGUGGCGAAGGCGGCCUGCUGGGCUGUUGCUGACGCUGAGGCGCGACAGCGUGGGGAGCAACAGG